CCACAGUGUCACACGUCCCCAUGAAGCAAUGCCAGCAUUUUUAGGCAGGCAAGCUCAGGGGAAAGAAAGUCCUUCAAGAACAAGGGAGGCCACCAGAGAACCUCGAUGCUGGAGCGUCCCCAGACCAGCACAGCACAUGACAGACGGAGUUUUUCUGCAAAAUUAAGGCAGAACACCAGAGGGGAACAAUUGGAACAUCCACCCCAAGGACAGACAACAUUGAGAAAAGAUGGAGACAGCACAGACAGAAAAGAGCAUAUGGGCUUAAGAGUAAGAAGGCUUUUUGUUAUUGUUUUAACCAAGCAGCAUUUAUCACCAUUUUCCAUCAGAAGCACAACAAUCACACACAUGCACACAAAAAAAAUAAAUUGUGAAACUAAUAAAACUCCAACCAUCUGAAACAUGAAUGCCUGAAAUUAAUCUGGAAAUCUGAACACCCGAAACAAAAGUUCUGCAAACGUGAUUCCCAAAUCAAGAGAACAAUGUUGGUAUUGUUGUUUGGAAAAACAAAGGCUCGGCACAGACCCAUGAGGAAGAGCAGCAGGCCACUCCACUGCCCCCCCAAGGGCUUGCUUGCCCAGGACUUAUUAAAAAUCUGCAGCUCGUGUAGCUUUGCACCAUACCAGUCCAGAUUUUACCACAUGGGACCAAUCUGGCAGCCCCACCAGCAAGAGUCAAUGACAACCACACCAUUAGCUCAGAAGAAAACUUUUUAUGAAAGUCAGCCUGGAAACGCCUGAAUAAACUUCAGAGCUCCUAAACAGUUACUAUGGAGUCACUAUGGAAACGAGCGCUGAAUUAAGCCAAACGCUAAUCUGGGCAAAAUACAAGAAAGAAUGCUUAGAGUCAUUUAGCUCCCGGGCUGCAAGGCUUGCUGCUCAAACAGAAGACUGGCUCACACCUCCAAGUCCCAGCUCCUCUUUCCUUGCUCAAAAGUACACACUAGGAAGCAGCUUAGCAUACAGUUAAAGGGUACGUUUACCAAAACAGUCCAGAAGCAAGGUACAGUAGCAGCAGGAGUCUUCUGUGACUUGGGGGACAGAAGGGAGUCGUCCUUGCAGAAGCGUUGUUUGAAGCGGUACCUUGCAGAUCCAGCAAGGUGUUUGCAGUCCAAGAGGUGAGGAUAUCUUGCAAGAAGGCAGCGGUUUCCGGUUUUCACAUUGAACAAGUGUACAGCAGAGUGGUAAAAGCACAGGCAUGGCCUCUGAGCUUACAGAAGUCCGCCUCUCUGAGUGCUUCACAUAAGUGGUCACAGGAGGAGAACAUCAUCAAGGAGCUACAGCAGUGUAAACAUGAAAUGCCAAAGUAGUUAUUAAAAUAGUAUUUUAUUUUAUUAAUAAAAACUAAACAGCAUUAUGACAUGGAUUCUAUUUUUUCUUUUUUCCAGUUUCCUUUGAACUACUCUGAUCAUCUCUUUUUGAGGCAAAGCCAUAUCUAUCAUUCCUGUGCUGAUCCUGCCACUCACUCUCCAGCUGUCUCAGCAUCUCUUGUGUUAGAAGUCCUUCACGCAGCAAUCUGUUGGCAAGCGAUCCACGUCCAUGGCUUUUCAAAUCCUCCUGCCUCAUAGAAGACCUGUAAGCUUUCAAGCUCCUGACUCUACUUUCUCCUGGAACCUCCAGUGCAACAGAGAGUGGCUCUGUGGAUUUUGCACCACGAUGGUCUGAAAACAUCCUACUAUCUCUUUUAGUCCUUGAAAGAGGAAAGUCUUCUGACACAACUUCUGCCGCUCCAGAAGCAGCACUAGACUGCGAAGCUCGGAUCAGCUUUGUGAUGUUGCAGACACCAAUUUGUAUAAUGUCGUCUAGUUUUUUCUGAAUAUUCCUUACAAGGGCAGCAUCAGGGAACAUAUCCAUGAAGCGGUAACUGAA